CCUGUGUAACUGCAGUGUAAAAGAUGGCAAGAGUUUACAAUUGCCGAAGAUUCCUUCAGACUCUGCAGAGCAAUAAUCCCAGUCAGAGGGACCUCACCCGGUUCUUACCCAUCACACGCUCACUGUGUCACUCAGAGUACUAUUCUCAGAUUCUGAGAUCCAUCAGUGGAAAACAAAACUCUCUGUACUUUUAGUGCCUACAUUGUAUGGAAGAAGGCAGAUGAUAUACAAGAAAGAUAAUAAGGGUAUACUUUUAUUGAAUCCAAGAUGCCAUCAACCAUUGAUGUACCAUUUAUCUAAUUCUGUGAAAUAAAUGCAUUCGAGAUGGGCAUUUAACAGAAAACCCUGCAGAAGCUGGAAAA